rnacentral:rRNA from 1 species
GAUGAACGCUGGCGGCGUGCUUAACACAUGCAAGUCGAACGGGAAUUACUUUAUUGAAACUUCGGUCGAUUUAAUUUAAUUCUAGUGGCGGACGGGUGAGUAACGCGUGGGUAACCUGCCUUAUACAGGGGGAUAACAGUCAGAAAUGGCUGCUAAUACCGCAUAAGCGCACAGAGCUGCAUGGCUCGGUGUGAAAAACUCCGGUGGUAUAAGAUGGACCCGCGUUGGAUUAGCUGGUUGGUGGGGUAACGGCCUACCAAGGCGACGAUCCAUAGCCGGCCUGAGAGGGUGAACGGCCACAUUGGGACUGAGACACGGCCCAGACUCCUACGGGAGGCAGCAGUGGGGAAUAUUGCACAAUGGGGGAAACCCUGAUGCAGCGACGCCGCGUGAAGGAAGAAGUAUCUCGGUAUGUAAACUUCUAUCAGCAGGGAAGAUAGUGACG